rnacentral:rRNA from 1 species
UACGUAGGGGGGCAAGCGUUGUCCGGAUUUAUUGGGGCGUAAAGAGCGUGUAGGCGCCUGGCAAGUCCGCUGUGAAAACUCGAGGCUUAACCUCGAGACGUCGGUGGAAACUGCCUGGCUAGAGUCCGGAAGAGGAGAGUGGAAUUCCUGGUGUAGCGGUGAAAUGCGCAGAUAUCGGGGAGGAACACCAAUGGCGAAGGCAGCUCGCUGGGACGGUACUGACGCUGAGACGCGAAAAGCGUGGGGGAGCAAACAGGAUAGAA